CCCUCAGGGGCACAUGAGGGAGAUUAUGUGAACAGGAAAUCCUUCCACAGUGUCAAUGUUCAGAUGAUCUGUGAUGCUGACUGCCUUAUCACAAAUUUAGAGGCAAAGUGGCCUGGCUUAGCCACGACUCCAGAAUCUUUCGGGCCAGUAGAAUUUACCAGAGACUCUCUCUAGGUGAGUUCUCUGGUGUGCUGCUGGGGGACAAAGGUUAUGCC